UUUGGUUCGUUUAGUACUGUAUGCAGAAGUUCAUCGGGAGAUUAUUUGGGAGCCUCGGCCAUCAAAAACGAAGGAAUUUUGGAUCCGGUGACUUUGGAAGCUUUGGCUUGUCGUGAAGCGCUUGCUCUUGCUGUGGAUCUUGGCCUCGCUAGAAUUCUCAUAGCAAGCGACUGUCAAGAAGUUGUGAAUGAUAUAAAAAACGGCACAGGUGGUGUUUAUGCUAGUACUAUUAGAGAGAUAGUGGAAUCAAAGAAUAACUUUGAUAGUUGCACCUUCAUUUUUGAGGGUAGAGCAACGAAUGUUGAGGCACAUAGCCUCGCUAAGCAUGCUUUUGGUUUGGACGUUGGGCGCCAUGUGUGGCUGUUAAACCCUCCAAACAUCUCUUGUAUCCCUUUGAACAUCUUUGAGUAA
rnacentral:rRNA from 1 species